AGUCCGUGGGGCGGGGCGGGGAGAACACGUGACGGGGGCGGGGCUUACGGAGAGGCGGGGUUUAGAGGGGGCGUGGCUCUAUGUGGGGGCGGGGCUCGGCUGCGGGGCGGUGCGAAGCUGACGCGUGGGGCCGCGACGGGGUGGGCGGUGUAUGGGGCGGUGCUGUGGGGCUGCAGGAGGCACAGAGUACAUAGAGGGCACCUGUGUGUCGUCACACGUGUGCGUAUAUAUGGCUACAUCAUGUGUAUCCAUACAUGGAGGCAUGUAUCUCAGUAGGUGCGUGCAGAGGUGUAUGUGCGUGUAGCCAAAAGGCACUGUGCAGCAUAGGGACACCAUACAGAUGUAUGCAUGGCUGUGUAAUACCUUACAGGCAGAUGCAUGGCUGUGUGUGUUCGUGACGGACAGCCAGCGCGCACACACACACACACACACACACACACUAUGGGUGCACAUCGGCUCACAGACAGCUGUAGGUGCACUUAUUUAAGUUGCAUGCUAACAGACACAGGGAAUGCCUCCAUCUAUACAUAUGCGCCCUAUACUGCAGUGAGGGCUAAUAGAUGCACACAUCCAUAGCCGAGCGGUGCGUAUUGACCCCUUAAUGCAGGCACAACAGCAGCUGAUCCACGCGCUCUGAUCGCAGUGUCUGUCCCAGCAGCUGCCGUUACCUCCACGCGGGCAGUGACGAAUCGCAGCCCCGCUCCGCGCCCGCCGCCCUCACCCCAUCCCCGCCCGCCGCCGCCGGAUGCCGUCGGUCAAUGAUUAACGCGGGGUCGGGGCCGCCCCAGGCCUGGAGGGAUGGAGGCCGGCGGGAUGGAGGCCGGGGCGGGGGCUGAGCGCCGGGUGGUGGCCGUCAGCAAUGCGGCCUUUGAGGACGACCCGCCGCCCUACUCGCCGCCCGACCCCAAGAGCGCGCAGCUGCUGUUCCCGGUGCCUUUCCACCCCCAGCCCCAUCCCCACCCGCCGCCCUUCGUACCGCAGCCGCUGCCCUACACCGCCUCCGUGGGGCCGCCCGGCACGGGGCCUCCAACCGCCGCCCAACAGCCGCCCAAGGACUACGUGGUGGAGUCGGUGCUGGUGACGGUGUUCUGCUGCCUGCUGACCGGGCUCGCCGCCCUCCUCUAUUCACACGAGGUAAGGACGGGCCCCGCUCAGCCCCUGCCCCGCGCUGUGACCCCGCUGACCCCUCCCCUCCUCCCCACGCCAGACCCGCGCUGCGCUCAGCCGUGGGGACGUGGCCCAGGCCCAGGCGGCGUCCAAGAAGGCGCAGUCUCUGGUGCUGCUCAGCCUCGUCCUGGGGCUGUUCGUCUCCUUCAGUUGGGUCGUCUACGUCCUGGUGGCUCUGUAUUGGUGACGGGGCCGCAGGGACACGGAGCGCACAGCCCAGUGCCAUUGGUGAGGAGCAGCCGCCGGGCGAUGCCAGCACCGAGCCCAGCAGCCGCGUGCAGCAGCGGUCCCUGCACCGGAGAGCUCAGUGACUCUAUUGGGGCUGACAGUGGGAGCCGCACAACGCUGCGGGCAGCAGCACAGCUCCGGGUCACAGCGGGACGCGUGGCUCCGUGCAGGGCUGGGAAUGGAGCAAACGGCCCCGCAGUGCGCAGCCACAGCGGGCGGCUCUGCAUGGGCCGCUCUGGGCGUGCGAGCGCAUGA
rnacentral:lncRNA from 7 species